CUGCUGUUGUGCCUGGUAAUAUUGCUGCUGCUCUGCCAUCAUAGCUAACUGCACAUUUGACGGUGGCGCGAAGCUGUUUGACAUGGCAAAUGGAUCGUUGGAGUCAAACGGGUUUGCUGCAAGACUUCCUGUUGCAUGGAUAUCAUAAACACUGAACCUGGUGCCACAAUAGCAAGAGCCAGUGCAUUGCUUGCUUCAAGGUCUGCGAUCAUGGGGUUUACCUCUUCAUCCAAGUUCUGCAAGUAAUAUAGUAGCAAGAACAUGAGGCUCAGAAACUGAUACUCAGCUGAACAGUAGAUUGUUCAAGGGACAUGGAGUAAAUACUAAUAGGUCCCCAGUGAUCGUUGGUGGUUGAGGUUCCACUGCUUCUUCUGCAGGUUCAGCAGCGAGUUGCGGUUCUUCUUCAGGCUCUGCAGGUUCUGGCAUUUUGCAGUGUUCCUAAUACUGAAAGCACUCACCAAACUCUUACUCUCAAUGUUGGCUCGGGGUGCUUCUCUGAUGUACUCUUCCAUAGUCACAAGAAAUGAAGGAGGCGGCUGCAUACCAGUAAGUAGUAGCACUGUCACUAUCAGUAAAUGACUAAUAGUACAAUCUAGUGUGCAGAGGGCACACGUUUUAUAUCAUUGCCAAAUGAUAUUUAAAUGACAAGCAUUUUUUACACUUGACUGGUACAGUCAGCGAUGUAAAUACUACUAUCUUCCCUUAAAUUAUGGAGAUUUAUCUGUUAAAAUCAGUAAUUAAUGACUGAUGGAACAUACCUGCCUCAGAGUAGGAAAUUGGAAAGUCCUGGCCAGAUCAAGAUGUUUGCACUGGUCGUAGAAAUUAGAAAGCUUUUCUGCCUGUGAAAUUGAUGAAUCCACACCAUGACAAUAUUAGAAACAGCUAGUUCAUCCAAAUAUGCUAGAUGGUACUCUGCAUAGUUUCUAUACCUGCUGGCCAGCUCGUUUAUAGAUUUCAAGAGCCUUGAUCGCAUCAUAUUUUGGCAUAUCAAAAUACUGCAUCACAUAAGAGAUACAAGUAUUCAGCUUAUGUUCAGACGACGGACAUAUAAAUACAUGGAAAAGGCAUCUCACCGUACCAUAUCAACAAGAUUGAUGAUGCCAUCAUUGAUUGAACAGUAUAUUUUGAAACUUUCCUUCAAAACCUAGGGCCCAUAAGACCUCUGUAAGACUUAAGACUAUAAGGAAAUGGACACUAUUCUUUACCAAAAAGCUGUCAGAACGAGUUUCAGACUCACAAGGGCUAGCGCAUACUGUACAAGGUAAUUUGCACAGGCUGCACCUUCAGGCUGCAAAGUGAUGAUGGAAAAUGAAAUGACAUGCCAAUAUCAGAGAGUUGCAUCCACUGGCUUGAUACAGUUUCUUAUUUUCAAGCUUAGUACUACUGUUCCUUAUUCUUCAAACCUGGCAGUAAAUAAGCCUGAGAAGCAGUUUCUGCAGUGCAGGCAACUGAUCCAAAAGAUCUGCGAGUGGAAGGGUUCUUGUUCUGCUGUGUGCCUGGAAUUCAUCAAGGUUCAGCACAGCGCUACUCAUGUGUCAAACAACUCAAAAUGAUGCCAAGCAAGACUGCAAGAUGUUGGUUCGAAGCAUGGAAAAGCUAACCUUGCCAGACGCCUGGGGUAAUUUCAGCAGACGAUCAGCUUCAACAUCAUACUUGAGAACCCUGAAGCACUCCACCCGUUCAUCUAGGUAGAGCGCGUACGUGCGAACCCAAGCAGAGCAAUCCCAAGCUGGAGGAAGGAGUGAGCAGAGAAUCUAUGUUCAGAUAUGAACCACUGGGAGGCCACAUUUUUUGGACUCCCCUAGAAAAAUGCAGAUUUGUUUAGACCAUGGACUUUCUGACAGUUUUACAAUCUACAUCCUUGAGCCAUAAAUUUGGCUCCUUCAGUAGCCAAGAGGCUGCAAUUAUGCAAUAUAUGGACAAGAUCCCUAUCCCUA